GCGAUAGUGAUAUAUAAAGAGGUGUAGUGAAGGAGUGAUAGUGGUAUAGAAAGAGGUGUAGUAAAGGAGUGAUAGUGGUAUAAAAAGAGGUGUAGUGAAGGAGUGGUAGUGGUAUAGAAAGAGGUGUAGUGAAAGUGUGAUAGUGGUAUAGAAAGAGGUGUAGUGAAGGAAU